rnacentral:rRNA from 1 species
AACGAACGCUGGCGGCAUGCCUAACAAAUGCAAGUCGAACGAGAUCUUCGGGUCUAGUGGCGCACGGGUGCGUAACGCGUGGGAAUCUGCCCUUUGGUUCGGAAUAACAGUUGGAAACGACUGCUAAUACCGGCUGAUGACGAAAGUCACAAGAUUUAUCGCCAGAGGAUGAGCACGCGUAGGAUGAGCUAGUUGGUGUGGGAAAGGCGCACCAAGGCGACGGUCCUUAGCUGGUCUGAGAGGAUGAUCAGCCACACUGGGACUGAGACACGGCCCAGACUCCUACGGGAGGCAGCAGUGGGGAAUAUUGGACAAUGGGCGAAAGCCUGAUCCAGCAAUGCCGCGUGAGUGAUGAAGGCCUUAGGGUUGUAAAGCUCUUUUACCCGGGAUGAUAAUGACAGUACCGGGAGAAUAAGCUCCGGCUAACUCCGUGCCAGCCGCCGCGGUAAUAC